AUAUGCCAUUUGUGUGACUGGCUGUGUGAGCAUAUACCUAGUCGGAUGACUAGGUUGAUAUAUUUAUACAAUGGUGUGAAUGCUUGUGUUGUGCAAUAAUUAUUAUUCAUUAAUAAACUCACAUCUCUUUUGUUUAAAUCUUUCAGGAAGUAGCAUUUUCUAAAUCCCAGCUAUAACUCUGCUCUUCACUAUAAAAAAAGAAAUUCGCUAAUUUUCGUAUUGAUCAAUUAAAUAGAUAAAUGUCCGAAGACUUAUAUGUAUACAUCCGUCAAUGAACUCCGCAGUUAUAGAAUUUGUAUACUUUUAAGUUGUGUAUUAUUAUAGAUGGAAUAAUUCUGUGAGCCUGUUUUAUUAAAUAUAGUG
rnacentral:lncRNA from 1 species